rnacentral:lncRNA from 1 species
UAGGCAAACUGUUGUGUUGUAUUUGUCCCGUGCUGAAAACUUGAAAGGUAGUUGGGGACCGACCUUUGGAAAAAUAUAUCACCCCAUUUGUCAUCCAGCGAAUGUAAGGAUACCAUCGUCCUUCCUCUUUCCUACAAUAGAUGCUAUUGAGUUGACCUAAUUGUAUAAAACAUACAUCCCUAUGCUCCCUGUUUUUCCACUAGUUCAUCUAUGGCUCCCCGGACUCCGAGACUAGUCGUGCCAGUAGACCUGAGCAGAAAACCGUGGCAGCAAAAGCUACCCCUUCACAACCGUUGGCACCCUGACCUACCCCCGGUGGCGGAGGUUAAAACCGGUGAGGUCUUUAGAAUUGAGAUGGUAGACUGGACUGGAGGUACUAUUAAAGAUGAUGACUCUGCACUAGAUAUAAAGUCCAUAGACCUCUCAACAGUAAGUAUGGAUUUUAUCCUAUGUUAAAAAAUGGUACAUAUAGGAUCGAGUUAAGAUCUUGAGUCUACAAAUUAUUGAGAUCAUCAGUCACUACUCGUUUAUAAUGUAAUCAGUAGUAUGGAGAACAAGAACAUCUAGAAUGGUAAAUUAAUGUAAGAGUAAUAUGUUUCAAACUUGUGCAGGUUCAUUACCUCAGUGGGCCGAUUAGAAUUUCGGAUUCCGAUGGAAUUCCAGCACAGCCAGGCGAUCUUCUGGUGGUUGAGAUAUGCAACUUGGGUCCUCUCCCAGGAGAUGAAUGGGGUUUCACUGCGACAUUUGACAGAGAAAAUGGAGGGGGUUU